GACGGAGGGUGCAAGCGUUGUUCGGAUUGACUGGGCGUAAAGGGCGUGUAGGCGGUUGGUCAAGUCCGAUGUGAAAGCCCGGGGCUCAGCUUCGGAAGUGCAUCGGAAACUAGCCAGCUUGAGCGCGAUAGAGGAGGGCGGAAUUCCUGGUGUAGCGGUGAAAUGCGUAGAUAUCAGGAGGAACACCGGCGGCGAAGGCGGCCCUCUGGAUCGUUGCUGACGCUGAGACGCGAAAGCGUGGGGAGCAAACAGG
rnacentral:rRNA from 1 species